GGUCGUACAUCAUCAGGAGCACAAGAAGGGUUCCUUCAAAACCCUAAAACCCACAAAUUCAACAAAAUCAAAGGGAAAUAGAGCUAGAGAAUUGGGGCUUUAACUAAAUUCGUGAUCACCUCAGUAAAGGGAUCAUAAGACAAAGGAAUCGAGUCUUUAAGCGGACAAACCGGAGUGGACACGCGCUUGAAGGGAAUGCUUUAAAGGUGAAUGUCGAGGAUCCCGGAUGAAGAUCAAGCAUCGAGCAAGAACCGAACACACGUUAAACAAAGCUUCCGCAAUGUUGUUUUGCCGUUAUUCUAAAACGGCGAAUUAAACCACAUCAUGUUGUAUCACCUUAAAUUGUAAAAGUUUUUAAUAAACCGGUAUUUUAGCAUGAAUGUUUAUAUACAAUUACUCAGU